rnacentral:lncRNA from 1 species
GGGCAAGCAGACUCCCCGCUGAGCAGGGAGCCCGAUGUGGGACUCGAUCCCAGGACCCUGGGAUCAUGACCUGAGCCGAAGGCAGACGCUUAACUGACUGAGCCACCCAGGUGCCCCCAGAACUCCUUUUAAAAAAUCCGUUCUAAGAAGUGGCUUGAAAAACAAACUUGACUAUAAAAUUUGAAAACCACUGAUCUUACUAAUAUUAACAACAGCUCUUGGCGCUUCCUUUGUUUCGGACACUGUGUUAGGUCCUCUCCCUGUCUCAGUCGAUUUCAUGCUGGCCCCGAGCUAUGAGGUCAGUACAGGACUGCACUCCUGUCCUGUGGACGUAUAAUGUGAGUCACAAAUGUAAUUUAAAAUUUUCUGGGAGCCCUGUUAAAAAAAGUGAAAAGGAACAGUAUCGCGGCAAUCAUAAUAACAUGUUUCAUUUAACCAAAUGUAUCUAAAAUACAAUUUCUAUGUGUAAUCAGUAUGAACAUCAGCAGGGUAUUUUUGAUUCGUUUUCAGACCAAGUCUUUGAAAUCCAGUGUGUAUUUCCCGCACCACAACUCCGUUCGGACCAGCCCCAUUUUAAGUAUCCAACAGCCACGUGUGACCGGUGGCUACUGCCGUGGGCGGAGCGAGGCUGGAAGGUCGUCUUGUCAUUUUGUUGAUGGUUUCCUUGGCUAUUCAGUAUACUUCCUUCUUAAAUCUGCAAAGAUUGCCCAAAGGACCUAGCACGGGACUGGGCACUCCAGCUGACCAUUGAAUAUUUGUUGACUGAUGCAGAAGCAGAGAAGGUGCCAGCUCCCCCUGUUCUCUUGCCGGCACUUCCGUGAGCGAGGCAGUGCUGGGGAGGGAAGAUGGACAUGACUGCCUGGCCACGGGGAAGCCAGGGCCAGAAAUCACACUCUUGGCCUCUCGUCCUGGACUUUUUCAUAGGUAGGCUCAAAUCACCAAACUGUCACCUCCUAAUUCCUAAGCUGAACUGAGGAUUGGCUUUUGGAUUUGGGCUGGGAAUGAAUGUGUUUGUAACUAAUUUCAUUUCAUAAGAUGAUGAACUAGGCCUUCUCUCCCACCACUACAACUUGGCCGCAGGAGGGAAGCGCCUCGUUUCUCCAGGAGCCUCACUGAAGUCUUGAAAAACCCUGGUCUAAUGCACAAUUCCCACCCCCCUCAUUUUUUUGUUCGUUUUUCUUGUUCCAUGCUGCAAUUCUGCUCACAU